UGAAAUUCGCCUUCAUGAAGCUGGAAUUGCUAGUAAUGGCAGGUCAGCAUACUGCCGUGAAUACGUUCCCGGGCCUUGUACACACCGCCCGUCACACCAUGAGAGUUUGUAACACCCAAAGCCGGUGGGGUAACCUUUUGGAGCCAGCCGUCUAAGGUGGGACAGAUGAUUGGGGUGAAGUCGUAACAAGGUAUC
rnacentral:rRNA from 1 species